CUGGGCCGUAACUGACGCUGAGAAGCGAAAGCAUGGGGAGCGAACAGGAUUAGAUACCCUGGUAGUCCAUGCCGUAAACGUUGGGCGCUAGGUGUGGGGCUCAUUCCACGAGCUCUGUGCCGCAGCUAACGCAUUAAGCGCCCCGCCUGGGGAGUACGGCCGCAAGGCUAAAACUCAAAGGAAUUGACGGGGGCCCGCACAAGCGGCGGAGCAUGCGGAUUAAUUCGAUGCAACGCGAAGAACCUUACCAAGGCUUGACAGUACCGG
rnacentral:rRNA from 1 species